CAGUCGCCACGGGAAUACGUAGGUGGCAAGCGUUGUCCGGAAUUAUUGGGCGUAAAGGGCUCGCAGGCGGUUUCUUAAGUCUGAUGUGAAAGCCCCCGGCUCAGCCGGGGAGGGUCAUUGGAAACUGGGAAACUUGAGUGCAGAAGAGGAGAGUGGAAUUCCACGUGUAGCGGUGAAAUGCGUAGAGAUGUGGAGGAUCACCAGUGGCGAAGGCGACUCUCUGGUCUGUAACUGACGCUGAGGAGCGAAAGCGUGGGGAGCGAACAGGAUUAGAUACCCGGGUAGUCCCUGUCUCUUAUAC
rnacentral:rRNA from 1 species